AUGAGCGAGGCACCCGCGACGACCGCCGCCGCCGGAGACGACCCUGACGCCACCGCCACCGCCAAUCAUCAUCAGCAGCAGCAGCAGGCGCAGGCGCAGGCGCAGCCCGAGACGCAGGACGACGCGGACCAGCUGUCGGAGCUGCGGCAGAUCUUCCGGUCCUUCGACCGCAACAAGGACGGCAGCCUGACGCAGCUGGAGCUGGGCUCCCUCCUCCGCUCCCUCGGCCUCAAGCCCAGCACCGACGAGCUCGACGCCCUCAUCCACCGCGCCGACACCAACUCCAACGGCCUCGUCGAGUUCUCCGAGUUCGUCGCCCUCGUCUCCCCCGAGCUCCUCGACGACCGCUCCCCCUACUCCGAGGACCAGCUCCGCAGGCUCUUCGAGAUCUUCGACCGCGACGGCAACGGCUUCAUCACCGCCGCCGAGCUCGCGCACUCCAUGGCCAAGCUCGGCCACGCGCUCACCGCCAAGGAGCUCACCGGAAUGAUCGAGGAGGCCGACACCGACGGCGACGGCCGGAUCAACUUCCGUGAGUUCUCCCGCGCCAUCACCGCCGCUGCCUUCGACAACGUCUUCUCCUGA
rnacentral:rRNA from 1 species